rnacentral:sRNA from 1 species
CCUACUCCUCUAGCCGGAACCUGGGGGCCCGGAGCACAGAGUUGUCCUCGGAGGUCCAGGACAGCGGCCAGCCCGGCGGCGGGAGUCAGGGCCACGCCACCUGCAGGGAAGAACCCGAGCCAAAGCGGGAAGAUGGCUGCAGACAAGCCUGCAGGCGUGAGUCCACUCAGCUGUUGAAGAAAUGGAUGGAUUAGAUGAUGUUGAAAACAGCAUGUUGUACUAUAAUCAAGCAGUCAUUCUUUAUCAUCUGCGGCAGUAUACAGAAGCCAUAUCAGUUGGUGAAAAACUUUAUCAAUUCAUAGAGCCUUUUGAAGAAAAAUUUGCCCAAGCAGUGUGUUUUUUGCUUGUAGACCUGUAUAUAUUAACCUACCAAGCUGAGAAAGCUUUGCAUCUUCUUGCUGUCUUAGAAAAAAUGAUUUCACAGGGUAACAAUAACAAAAAUGGAAAGAAUGAGACUGGUAAUAACAACAACAAAGAUGGAUCUAAUCAUAAAGCUGAAAGUGGAGCUCUAAUAGAAGCUGCAAAAUCAAAGAUACAUCAG